CUGAGGAGAAAGAGAGAUCGUUUGACGAAACAAAAAGAGGAGAAAUAGAGAUCUUUGUCGUCGUCGUCGUUCCCCUCAUCGUCGUGAGCCUGCCGUCCUGCCUCUCUCGCCGUCUAUCGCCGCUCAUCCCUAUUUGAUGACUGACGUUGAUCCCACAAUCGUUGAAAGACUGUUGUGCAUCAUGUAACUGACGACUUGAUCAACAAUGUGGAUGAACACUUGUCUCAUGCACUAUGUCGUCAUUUCUGAGCGAUUUCCACGAGACCGAAGCCAUGUUCCUCGAGUUUGCAGAAGAGCUAGAUAACCCUGCAAGAGGGUCAUCGUUGGUGGACGACAAUUCGGCAGGUACUUCUCAACUAUCUACGACUCCGACUCCUAGGAAACGUGUGCGGUCUCUACUCUUAGAGUUGGAGUACUACGUUGCAACCAAUGGGUGAAUUUCAAUUACGAUCACCUCUGGAGCAGAGAAGCCCGUCUUCCUAUACGUCGUUCGCUUUAGCCAGGUGAUAGGCAUGUAUGUUCGAAAGAAAUUUCCCAUCCACUGCCCUAACUGGACAGCGAACGUAGGCAGAGAAUACAUCGAGGUCGUCAAAGGCGAUCUCCAAAGAUUUUUUGUGCUUGAUUUCAAUGAUCAAGCAAUGAAUAGGUUCAUUGAGCAUCAAAUGCUUAGCACUUUUAAAGAGUUAUGGAACGACUGUUACAAGCAUUUCAAAAAGUACAGCAACCACGAGGAGGCUCGUACCAACCCACCACACAUAUUGGUGGGACGUGAUGAGGAUUAGCACUACCUCUAUGACCACUACAUGAGUCGUGCAUUCCAAGAGCAAUCAUGGACAACCAAGACUGCUAGACAGAAGCAGCCUUACAAUCAUAGCAACAAAUUGAAGUCAUUUCUACAACGAUAACACGAGCUCAUUGAGCAAAUAGGGGAGCCAGUCGACCGUGUGGAGUUUUUCUGGCAAACACACAUUCAAGACGGAACGUUUGUGUCGCAGACCAUGUGGAGUUAUCCAAGCAACACUUCUGCCCUUAUUUGUCCUCUUUAAUAAUAUAUUUUUUACUUACUAAGAUAGUUUCUAAAUUUAUUGCAGAAUCAAAUGCUAGAACUCCAAUCUUAACCUACCCAGAGGGUAUUCAGCUACUCUCUAGAGACGAGAUAUGCGAGACGGUGUUGAAUAGAUGAUCGGACUACCCAAAAGGCCUUGGUUGGGACCCAAGCUAAGACCCGCAAGACGACCAGUGCAAGCAGUUUCACGCCCUCAUGUUCACAGUCUACGGUAGACCUCCAAUUACGAGCUACGCUUGUUCAAGCUAUGCAAUGAAUUGAAGAAUAGAUAAGAAAUCACGAUGCGUUAGCUUCAGAAAUGGAACGAAUGCAGAAGCUCAAAGAAAGGAUCGUCACAUGAUCCCUAGCUUUGCGAUAUAUAUAUGUUUCCAUUAUUUUUAAGUUCUUGAAAUGAUAAUGAUGAUAUGCAUAUAUAUGUACUAAAAUUAGCCACUUUUG